rnacentral:rRNA from 1 species
UACGGAGGGUGCAAGCGUUAUCCGGAUUCACUGGGUUUAAAGGGUGCGUAGGCGGGCAGGUAAGUCAGUGGUGAAAUCUCCGAGCUUAACUCGGAAACUGCCGUUGAUACUAUUUGUCUUGAAUAUUGUGGAGGUAAGCGGAAUAUGUCAUGUAGCGGUGAAAUGCUUAGAUAUGACAUAGAACACCAAUUGCGAAGGCAGCUUACUACACAACGAUUGACGCUGAGGCACGAAAGCGUGGGUAGCGAACAGG